UACGUAGGGGGCGAGCGUUGUCCGGAGUUACUGGGCGUAAAGGGCAAGUAGGCGGUCCUGCGCGUUUCCGGUGCCAGCUCCUUGCUUAACGAGGGGAGUGCCGGGAAGACGGUGGGACUUGAGGGCCUCAGAGGGACAUAGAAUUCCGGGUGGAGUGGUGAAAUGCGUAGAUAUCCGGAGGAAUACCAAAGGCGAAGGCAGUGUCCUGGGAGGUUUUACUGACGCUGAGGUGCGAAAGCCAGGGGAGCGAACGGG
rnacentral:rRNA from 1 species